CCCGGAGCGAGCGCGCCUCGGGAGCGCAGGACUGGAGGGGCUGGUGCGGCCGCCGGUUAGGGCUGAGGCUGGGCCCCCGCUCCUUCCCCCGAGGAUGGGGCUCAGGUGACCCUCACUGCGGCUCGAAGGGCCUCACGCAUCUUCUCCGAGCCCCGCCCUCUACUCUGCGCGCCUGAAUGAAGUAUGAAAAAAGGAAUGCAUCGAGUGAGCAAUCACAGAAGGCUUCCUAAAGGAGUGACAUUGAGCUGACAGGCCUUAUGGAUGCAGAGGAAGCAUCUCCAUGAACAUCUGGAGGGACAGUGUUUCCAGGCAGGUAGGCCCCUAGGAGGCCUGGCAGCUGCUGCCUCCACUCUCCUGGAGUUCUGGACCCCCAUGAAGAGUUUCACUUCCUGGUUGGAGAGCAAGGCCCAGCCAGCCCCCAGCCAUUCCGGUCACCAGCAGAGAUCAUCUUGGAUGCACCAAUGGAUCUGCUCCAGCUGAGGCACAUGGGACAGAGUUAACA